rnacentral:rRNA from 1 species
CCUACGGGAGGCAGCAGUGAGGAAUAUUGGUCAAUGGGAGAGAUCCUGAACCAGCCAAGCCGCGUGAGGGAAGACGGCCCUAUGGGUUGUAAACCUCUUUUGUCGGAGAACAAAACCCGGGACGUGUCCCGGAUUGCGUGUAUCCGAAGAAAAAGCAUCGGCUAACUCCGUGCCAGCAGCCGCGGUAAUACGGAGGAUGCGAGCGUUAUCCGGAAUCAUUGGGCGUAAAGGGUUCGUAGGCGGCAUGUAAAGUCAGGUGUUAAAGGUGCGGGCUCAACCUGUGUAUGGCACUUGAUACUUGCAAGCUUGAGUGCGCUAGAGGUAAAGGGAAUUCCUGGUGUAGCGGUGAAAUGCUUAGAUAUCAGGAGGAACAUCGGUGGCGUAGGCGCUUUACUGGGGCGUAAUUGACGCUGAGGAACGAAAGCCAGGGUAGCAAAUGGGAUUAGAUACCCCAGUAGUC